CCGUGGGGGGAGGGCCCUACACAUGCAGUCGAACGGUAACAGGGUAGCUGGGUCUUUGGUGCGAGUGGGGGACGGGUGAGUAAUGCUUAGGAACUUGCCUUUUGGAGGGGGAUAACAGUUGGAAACGACUGCUAAUACCGCAUGAUACCUACGGGUCAAAGGGGGCUUCGGCUCUCGCCAAGAGAGAGGCCUAAGUGAGAUUAGUUAGUUGGUGGGGUAAUGGCCUACCAAGACGACGAUCUCUAGCUGUUCUGAGAGGAAGAUCAGCCACACUGGGACUGAGACACGGCCCAGACUCCUACGGGAGGCAGCAGUGGGGAAUAUUGCACAAUGGGGGGAACCCUGAUGCAGCCAUGCCGCGUGUGUGAAGAAGGCCUUCGGGUUGUAAAGCACUUUCAGUUGUGAGGAAAGGUUGGUAGUUAAUACCUGCCAGCUGUGACGUUAACAACAGAAGAAGCACCGGCUAACUCCGUGCCAGCAGCCGCGGUAAUACGGAGGGUGCGAGCGUUAAUCGGAAUUACUGGGCGUAAAGCGCACGCAGGCGGUCUGUUAAGCGAGAUGUGAAAGCCCCGGGCUCAACCUGGGAGGGUCAUUUCGAACUGGCAGACUAGAGUUUUGAAGAGGGGAGUGGAAUUCCAGGUGUAGCGGUGAAAUGCGUAGAUAUCUGGAGGAACAUCAGUGGCGAAGGCGACUCCCUGGUCAAUAACUGACGCUCAUGUGCGAAAGUGUGGGUAGCGAACAGGAUUAGAUACCCUGGUAGUCCACACUGUAAACGCUGUCUACUAGCUGUUUGUGUGAUUUAUCACGUGGUAGCGCAGCUCACGCGAUAAAGUAGACCGCCUGGGGAGUACGGCCGCAAGGUUAAAACUCAAUAUUU
rnacentral:rRNA from 1 species